rnacentral:lncRNA from 1 species
UAUUUUGGACCUGUCAACUUGUGAUUUGUGAACGUUAUGAUUUAUGAACUUGUGAGUUGUGGUAUGUGGACAGCAUGUUCAUCUGUCGAGUGUGGAUUAUGCAUGUUCAACUUGUCAGCAUGUUCGUCUUGUGGCUGGUAUUGACGUAUUGUUUACUUGUUUGCAUAUGGAUUAUGCAUGGUUGCUAUUGUUGCAUCGAGCUCUCUGUUUCUAAGUGGUUACAUAUAUCUAUAUUUCCGAUUUGUGUUACCGUUUCCCGAUCGUAAUCGACACGUUCCCGUUCGAAAUAUUCCGUUCCUGAUAUCGUGUAAUACCGGAUCCGUUUUCCCGUCCGACCUUCCCGUUCCCAUUUCCGUUCCCGACUAAAAAAAUAUAGGAGAGGGAAUGGUU